GUGCCAGCCGCCGCGGUCAUACCGGCAGCCCAAGUGAUGGCCACUCUUAUUGGGCCUAAAGCGUCCGUAGCCGGCCUCGCAAGUCCGUCGGGAAAUCCAGUAGCUCAACUACUGGGCGUCCGGCGGAAACUACAAGGCUUGGGACCGGAAGGCUCGAGGGGUACGUCCGGGGUAGGAGUGAAAUCCUGUGAUCCCGCACGGACCACCGAUGGCGAAAGCGCCUCGGGAAGACGGACCCGACAGUGGGGGACGAAAGCUGGGAUCUCGAACCGGAUUAGAUACCCCGGUAGUCC
rnacentral:rRNA from 1 species